rnacentral:tRNA from 1 species
GGAGAGUUGUCCGAGUGGUUGAAGGAGCACGACUGGAAAUCGUGUAUACGUCAAAAGCGUAUCGGGGGUUCGAAUCCCCCACUCUCCGCCA